rnacentral:rRNA from 1 species
CCUACGGGGGGCAGCAGUGAGGAAUAUUGGUCAAUGGUCGGGAGACUGAACCAGCCAAGCCGCGUGAGGGAGGAAGGUACAGAGUAUUGUAAACCUCUUUUGUCAGGGAACAAAGGCGGGGACGUGUCCCCGGUUGAGUGUACCUGAAGAAAAAGCAUCGGGUAACUCCGUGCCAGCAGCCGCGGUAAUACGGAGGAUGCGAGCGUUAUCCGGAUUUAUUGGGUUUAAGGGGUGCGGGGAGGGUCUGUUAAGUCAGCGGUCAAAGCUCGGGGCCAAACCCCGGACCGCCGUUGAAACUGGCAGUCUCGAGUUGGAGAGAAGUAGGCGGAAUGCGCGGUGUAGCGGUGAAAUGCAUAGAUAUCGCGCAGAACUCCGAUUGCGAAGGCAGCAUGCCGGCUCUACACUGACGCUGAGGCACGAAAGCGUGGGUAUCGAACAGGAUUAGAUACCCUUGUAGUC